rnacentral:lncRNA from 1 species
AAGUAUGGCACUUCUUGAUCCAGAUGUUCAUUCCUGUUUCUCUUUGACAUAUGCCCUAUACUUGUAUUCGUUCAAGUAGAAAGAGUUUAUUGCUCCUUUAUUUUCUUUUUUCUUUUUUUUUUCCUCAAUAACUCCUAUACACUAAGAUCGGGUCUUAUCCGAAAAUUACAAUAAAUGAAAAAUGCCAGAUUACCAACCUUUGCUACAAUGGAGCAUGGCUUCUCCUUUAGUUUAAUCUGCACAGUACAGCAAUAGACUAUUAUCAUAUUAUGAACAAGGAUCUUCCAUAAUUUACAUUUGAAGCAAAGAAGGCUUCAAUAACAAUAUCCUUGAUUUAAAAAAAGAAAAAAAUAAUAAUAAUAAUCUCAGUAACAGGUAAGGAGAAUUAAAUAGUGAGAAAAGGAACUCCAAAAAGUUCAAAAAGCAUUGUAAACAAUUCAUUUCAUAACACUUGGUUUGAAGUUCUGCCUCAGAAACUGCAAAAUGCAAAAUGCAAAUGCCAAGCAGGGAAUCGUCAUUCUAAAGAGGAAGUUCAAUACUAGAUUCACAUAAAAGGCAACCAGAAGUUAAAACUAAGGGAAAAAAGAACUUCCCGACACAUAUAGACAUGAAGCUAAUGAGGCUAACUACCAUAGUCCAUAUAUUAUCUAUAACAAUUCUUGGAAGCCAACUCAUUGCUUGUGAGUUGUGAUUCAAUUAUAUACAAUUUCUCCGUCAAAUAGAUAUCAAGGAAUAGCAGACUUCAUAACAUAUUGAAACUCCAACGGGAGAAAAUAUCCCUCUACAUACAGUUUGACCUCUUCAUAUAAAUAUUGAUUUAACAAUUUUAAUCAAUUUGGAUUAUGCUCUGCUCCACUUGUUUUGAUAGAGGAAUCAGAGGUUAAAUGAAUGACAGAAUCGUUAAAAAAUAAAAAUAAAUUUCCAAAUUAGCCAGCAACUACGAAUACUUCAGAGCUGGAUAAGAAUUGCAAAGUUGUGAUUCCAACUAAGAACUUGCACAAGCACAAGAAACACCUGUUAAUAACACUGGGCAAGUACCCAAACAACUAAUGAAUAGUUCAGUGGAUUAGCACUGUCAAUGCUCGCACACUUCCUGGCAUUUCUUUUAAAAUAACAACAUUGAAGAAUUAUCACGAAAGCACCAAAAUUAUACAAAAACCAGCGAUAAUAUAUAUUGCAGGACGAUCCUUUUGAAAUUCAAGGAAUUUAGCACGAGUAAGAAAAUUGAAGUUCAAAUGUUUAAAAAAAUAAAACAGGGGAAGAUUAAAGGGAAUACCAGAGGCGGGUAGCAAGAUGGAGAGAAGCGUUGGCCCAAGAAAGAAUUGGAGAGGGACAGUGAUGUAAAUGAGCUCUGAAGAGCCGCCAUUGUUGUCAUCUUCCUUCUCCUUCUUUUGAAUUUUUCUUCUGUACCAAAAAGUUUCGAAUUUCCUCUUUUGGUUUGCUACCUCUACUACCACACCCGAGUGAACUGAGAGAGACGAACAGGCUAACAUGGAAGAUA